AUUGAACGCUGGCGGCAGGCCUAACACAUGCAAGUCGAGCGGAUGAAGGGAGCUUGCUCCUGGAUUCAGCGGCGGACGGGUGAGUAAUGCCUAGGAAUCUGCCUGGUAGUGGGGGAUAACGUCCGGAAACGGGCGCUAAUACCGCAUACGUCCUGAGGGAGAAAGUGGGGGAUCUUCGGACCUCACGCUAUCAGAUGAGCCUAGGUCGGAUUAGCUAGUUGGUGGGGUAAAGGCCUACCAAGGCGACGACCCGUAACUGGUCUGAGAGGAUGAUCAGUCACACUGGAACUGAGACACGGUCCAGACUCCUACGGGAGGCAGCAGUGGGGAAUAUUGGACAAUGGGCGAAAGCCUGAUCCAGCCAUGCCGCGUGUGUGAAGAAGGUCUUCGGAUUGUAAAGCACUUUAAGUUGGGAGGAAGGGCAGUGAGUUAAUACCUUGCUGUUUUGACGUUACCAACAGAAUAAGCACCGGCUAACUUCGUG
rnacentral:rRNA from 1 species